UGAGGAAUAUUGGUCAAUGGUCGGAAGACUGAACCAGCCAAGCCGCGUGAGGGAAGAAGGCGCUCAGCGUCGUAAACCUCUUUAGCCGGGGAACAAGAGACGGUUCGAGAAACCGUUGUGAGUGUACCCGGAGAAUAAGCAUCGGCUAACUCCGUGCCAGCAGCCGCGGUAAUACGGAGGAUGCGAGCGUUAUCCGGAUUUAUUGGGUUUAAAGGGUGCGCAGGCGGACAGUUAAGUCUGCGGUAAAAUCGCGGGGCUCAACCUCGCCGAGCCGUGGAAACUGGCUGACUUGAGUUGGUGAGAGGCAUGCGGAAUGCGCAGUGUAGCGGUGAAAUGCAUAGAGAUUGCGCAGAACUCCGAUUGCGAAGGCAGCAUGCCGGCGCCAUACUGACGCUGAGGCACGAAAGCGUGGGGAUCGAACAGG
rnacentral:rRNA from 1 species